UUACCCUGACAUUUGACUUUUUUGUUUUAUUUGGAAUAAAACAUCAAAAAGCCACUCUUUAUUAUGUAUUUGUGUGUUUUUAGGAACUUUAAUUACAUUCAUAACAAUAUAAUGAUUUUUGUCUGCAUCUUUAGUUAUGAUUGAGGCUGGAUCGAAUCACAGCAUUAACAACUUUAAUAAAGAAUAUCAAAAUAAAUACUCAGGAGCACAGGAGAACACGAGAAUAAACAGCAAACCACCACAGUAGCAACAAGAAUGGCCAAAAAACAGCUGAAAAUUAGGGCUAUAUGGGUUAACUGAGGAGGAAAACAAGUCACAGGUAGGGAAUAAAUAAAUCAACUAAUUAGUCACUAUGACAACAAAUGCAAACAUGUUUAGAAACCAAAGAAAAUAGAAAGAAAAACAGGAAAAAAAUGCAAACCAAACUAAAAGUCUGUAAAGUCACGCCAGCAGAGGGACCCCUCUCCCGAGUACUGACUGCUUCACUAGUUACUUCCUGUUGGUGAGACAUUUAAGCAUGGCCUGGCUAACAGGCCAUUGCAAAUUUUUGUCAGUCUACCUGCCUUAAUGAGAGUUCUAUAAUCAUUGUCUUGUUUAUCUUGUGUAUGACCAUUGCCUGCUUUGUUUCGUUUUCGCCUUUUGGAUUAUCCCUUUGCUUUGUUGUUUGGAUUGGACUGCCUUAUUGAGUGAUACCUCUGCCUGCCUUGUGUUUAUGCUAUCUGCCUGCCGAUUUGGAUUUGUUUGCUGUGGAUUUUAAUAAAUGACUGCAUAUGAAUUCUAAUUCAGCUUCCGCCUUGUUACAUAAUACUUCGCCACCGAUGAAUCCAGCAGAAGUGUCUAAUCUACAGUUGGCAUUCACUUACCAAAGCAACAUCCUCAAGGGAUACCAAGAACAGCUGGGCAAACUACAAGCUGCUAACGAAUACCUCACGCAGUAUCUCUGAUCGCUACCACCACUUGUGCCGAAGGAGAGUGACAGGCCACGUUAACGCUGUAAGUUCACUAAAAGCCCAGAGGAACACCAAAAUUGCCAGCCGACAUUGAAUGACUCCGGAUCUCUGCAUUGAAUUUAAUCCAUCAAGACCUCAUCAAGAAAUUCAAUAUCCCCACGCAACCCUGUGAUCCACCACUCAGAGUUAACGCUGUUAACAACAAGCCCACUGGAGAUGGAAUCACCCAACAAACUUUGCCCAUGCAACUUCAAGUAGGACUAUUUCAUCUAGAAAUCAUCUAAUUAUAUGUGAUUGAUUCUCCAUGCCUUGAAAUCAUCCUAGGAUGCCCUUGGCUAUAUGUUCACGACCCAGUCAUCUCUUGGCAUGGUGCGAUUAUGCAAAGGUUACAGUUCUACUAUACACAUCAUUGUUCCUGGGAUUGUGCCAAUGACCUCUUGCCCAAUGCGAUGCCUCCCAAAAGUAAGAUCUAUCCCCCAUCAUACCCAGAAACAAUGGAAGAAUACAUAGAAGAAGCUCUCAGUUCUGGUUUCAUUCGUUCAUCUACUUCCACAGCGGCUGCAGGCUUCUUCUUUGUAGAAAAAAAGAAUAGAGGACUUCGGCCUUGCAUUGACUACAGAGGUUUGAACAAUGUCACAGUUUAAUUCUCUUAUGCAUUACCAUUAGUACCUGCUGCCCUAGAACAACUCUGAGAGGCAACAAUUUACACCAAGUUAGACCUCAGGAGUACCUACAACCUCAUCAGAAUCAGAGAAGGCAGUGAGAGGAAAACAGCAUUUCUGACAAAUAGGGGGCACCAUGAAUACCAGGUCAUGCCAUAUGGGGUGGACAAUGCACCGGCAGUCUUUCAGUCUUUCAUCAUUGAGAUCUUCAGAGACAUCCUGAACAAGUACAUAGUUGCAUACAUUGACGAUAUCCUUAUCGACUCCAAGUCUGAAAGUGAACACAAGGAUCAUGUCAAGACUUUGCUAUCCAGACUGCUAGAGAAUCAACUUUAUGUAAAAGCUGAGAAGUGUGAAUUCCAUGUCAAGCGAUCAAAGCCAUCAAGGUGAAGAAAUGGACAAUUCCAAGAUUACAGCAGUCACUGAAUGGCCUAACCAACCACAGUCAAGAAACUUCAGCGCUUCUUAGGAUUUGUCAACUUCUAUCGAUGCUUUAUCCAUGAUCCAUACAUCCAUAAUUAUAGCAUUACAGCUGCAACACUGACAUCCCUGUUGAAAGGUAAACCUUCAAAAUUAGAAUGGACUGAAAGUACCACUCAAGCCUUCACUAAACUCAAGAACAGUUUCACGACAGCACCUAUCCUCAAACAUCCUGAUCCCAACCUGCCGCUUGUCAUAGAAGUCAAUGUCUCAAGAACACUCUAUCUCACACAAAAUUCUGAUGGCCAUCAAUGAUUAAAGACGUGACUAACUAGGUCAAGUUCUUCUCAGUCUGUGUCCAGUCCAAAAUACAAAAAGAAUUAUCCUCUGGUUUGAUACAACCUUUGCCUAUUCCCCAACGACCUUGGUCACGCCUUUCAAUAGACUUUGUCACCGAUCUACAUCAAAUGAAUUCACAACAAUCCUAGUCAUCAUUGAUCACUUUCAAAGGCCUGUUGUCUAAUACCUAUGAAAGGCCUCCACACUACCAUGAAAACCACUCAAGCGCUGUUCCAACAUGUUUUCAGAGUUUCUGGCAUAUCCAAAGAUAUUGUUUCAGAUAGAGGAACACAUUCACCUCACAAGUAUGGAAGGCCUUCUGCAGACAGCUGGACAUCAAUGUCAGCUUAACCUCAGGAUAUCAUCCUCAAUCCAAUGGUCAAGUUGAGAGAUUGAAUUAAUAGAUUGGCAGGUAACUACGGUCGUACUGUGGUCGUGAACAGCAUUGCUGGUCAGAGUUUCUACCAUGGGUAGGGUACGCGCAGAACUCUUUAAGACAUUCAUCAACUGGUCUCUUUCAAUGCGUGCUUGGAUACCACCCCCCAAUGUUCCCGUGGUCAGGAGAACCAUCUAUGGUACCUGCAGUCGAUGGCUGGAUUCGUCGUAGUGAGAGGGUGUGGGACAGUGCUCAUGUAUGUCUGCAAAGGGCUGUCAGGACCCAGGAGAUUCAGGCCAAUAGGCGACAUCACCCACAUCCUCCCUACCAACCUGGACAAAGGGUCUGGCUCUACACACAGGACCGCAACUUGCGGCUACCAAGCAGGAAGCCCAGCCCAAGGAAUGUGCUGACCCCAACAUCGAGAGCCAGGCGAUUCUGUAACGUCAUGCCAGUAGAGGGAACCCUCUCCCGAGUACUGACUGUGUGCCGCUCCCUCUGCUUCACUUGUUACUUCCUGUUUGUGAGACCAUUAAGCAUGGCCUGGCUAACAGGCCAUCCUGAAGUAUUGCCAGUCUACCUGCCUUACUGAGCAUUCUAUAAUAAUUUUCUUGUUUAUCUUGUAUCUUUUGGAUUAUAUCUGCCUGCUGAUUUGGAUUUGUUUGCUGUGGUUUUUAAUAAAUGACUG